GCAAGUCUGGUGCCAGCAGCCGCGGUAAUUCCAGCUCCAAUAAGGAAAACUAAAGUUGCUGUGUUUAAAAAGCUCGUAGUUGAAUUUCGGGUAUUUGUUGCUAGCUGGUCUAACUGGCCAUGUUGGUGUUACAGAUCCUCAUUUGCUGGACGGCUGGCGAUGAUCUUUGCCUAUAUAUAUUGCAUGGAAUAAUGAAAUAAGAUCUCGAUUUUAUUUCGUUGGUUUUAGAAAUUGAGAUAAUGAUUAAUAGGAUCAGAGGGGGGCGUACGUACUGUGGUGUGAGAGGUGAAAUUCUUGGAUCGCCACAGGACGAACAGCAGCGAAGGCGUUCGCCAAGAAUGUUUUCAUUAAUCAAGAACGAAAGUUUGAGGUUCGAAGACGAUUAGAUACCGUCCUAGUUCAAACCAUAAACGUUGCCAACUGUCUUUUAGAUGCGGUUAUUUAUAUGACUCAUCUGGCGGAUCUCGAGAAAUCUAAGUUUUUAGGUUCCGGGGGAAGUAUGGUUGCAAAGCUGAAACUUAAAAGAAUUGACGGAAGGACACACAAGAAGUGGAGCCUGUGGCCUAAUUUGACCCAACACGGGAAACCUUACUCGGCCAGGACACUUUUAGGAUUGACAGAUUGAGAGCUCUUUCUUGAUUAGGUGGGUGGUGGUGCAUGGUCGUUCGUAGUUCGUGGAGCGAUUUGUCUGAUUAAUUUCGAUAACGAACGAGACUCCGGCUUACUAAAUAGUCUAAAGUUCGAAGGGACUUUUCAAGACUUCUUAGCAGGAUAAGUGGCACUUUUUAAGCCACACGAAAUGGAGCAAUAACAGGUCUGUGAUGCCCUUAGAUGUCCGAGGCUGCACGCGCGCUACACUGGAGAGUUCAGAAUGUUUCUUCCUACUUCGACAGAAGUGGGUAACCAUGAAAUUCUCUUCGUGACUGGGAUCGGAGCUUGCAAUUAUUCUCCGUCAACGAGGAAUUCCUAGUAAGCACUAUUUCAUCAGAAUGUGCUGAUUAUGUCCCUGUCCUUUGUACACACCGCCCGUCGCUACUACCGAUUGAAUGUUUUAGUGAGAUCUUCGGCUUGGUUUUCCGAGCGGCUUUCGGGUCGUUCGGUAUAUAUCGAAAAGAUGCUCAAACUGGAUCAUUUAGAGGAAGUAAAAGUCGUAACAAGGU
rnacentral:rRNA from 1 species